UACGGAGGGUGCGAGCGUUGUCCGGAAUUAUUGGGCGUAAAGCGCGUGUAGGCGGCUUUGCAAGUCGGGUGUGAAAGCCCUCAGCUUAACUGAGGAAGUGCGCCCGAAACUGCAGAGCUUGAAUACCGGAGAGGAUGGCGGAAUUCCCCAAGUAGAGGUGAAAAUUCGUAGAUAUGGGGAGGAACACCGGUGGCGAAGGCGGCCAUCUGGACGGCUAUUGACGCUGAGACGCGAAAGCGUGGGGAGCAAACAGG
rnacentral:rRNA from 1 species